UGGAGCGCUGCUCCUUUAAGGGAAGUCUGACGCUGCGGCACACGUCACCACGCCGCUCGUAGAGGCUUAUGGGAAGUCUCUUCAUAAACACUGCCAGUGGCUAGUAUUCGGUAAGCCUGCAAAGUUCCCCUUUGCGCGUUUCAUCGCCACCGGCGAAUGCUGUGGUUGCUUCUCCCCUCGCCGUCGAGAGGAGUGCGGUGUCCAGUUCAGAUCUAGGAGAUGUGGACCAUUUCUUGUCCUCGUUGUGAUUCCAACUUGGCGUCUCUUACUUGGCUAGAGUGAUCUCUUGCUUCUCCACUGGCAAGGACUUCGGUGGACAAUACCAACGGUUACCUUGCGCCUUUCCCGUCUCCUGCACGCCGGUAUGUAUUAUAGUGGGUUAGCUUGUGCCUUUACCCAGCCCUGACUGUUUGUUUUCGUACCAUGGUUGCUAACGACGGCCAUUAUUAUGGUUUCAGCGUGUGGUCGCUACCGGCGCCUCGGCCGUGUACCUCUGUAUUGGCACUCCGACUGUGAGAAUCGCGCAUCGGUGCACCCUCAUCUCCGGGUAAGGUAACCUCUCGGCAGCAGAAUCGUGUGAUAGUGGGUGUCCUGCUAGCUUGGCUAACGCUCUCCUCCUCCCUCGCAGGUUGUAUCCGUGUGGCCGUGGUCAGACACACCACGCGUUUAGGUGCACGAGCGGCGACUUUUAGCCCCGGUUGUGUGGUGCCUCUGGAAGCCGGGAACCCGUAUUUCGGCUGCUGCUCCGGCCUCGGGAAAUUGGACAUUCGUGCGUGUGUGUGCGUUGGCGCGCUUUAGUUCAGUGUGUGUGUGUGUGUGUGUGUGUGUGUGUAUGCGUGUGGGCGCUCGGCUCGGUGUGAGCUAGUGUGUGAGCCAUUCCACAGUGUGUGUGUGCGUGUGUGUGUGUGAGUGACGAGUGAGUGUGGGGAUACCUAGGGGACUGCACUGAGCUGAGCCUCUGGGGUUGGUUUACCUCAUGUUUUGAUUUUCUUUUACUUUCGUUUGCUGUGCCUAAUUUCCUUUUUUCAUUAUUUCAUCCAAUUAUCUAAUUUCUUAUUUAACUGCAUGUAUUUACUGGAUUUUGAUUUAUUUUGCAUGGUUUGCUGAUUUCUUGUUGUUUCUGUUUGCCGUGAAUUAUUUCUGUUUGUUGUGAACUAUUUCUUUACUUUUUCUUUUGUUAAUCCUGAGGUGUGCCAUUCGCCCUAUUGUGUUAGCCGUGCCAGCCCCUAGUGGCAAAGUCUGCCAACCUGAGUGUGGGUUCUAAGGCCUUAGGCCUACCAGGUGUGUUGUCUAUUGUGAAUUAGUGAACAUACUUUGGGGCCGGUGUUUACAGAUCCGCGGGUGUGGUGGCAGCACACCCACCCCUGCACUUUACUGUUACCGUGAACAUACUUUGGGGCAAGUGUUUAUCUAUCUGCGGGUGAUUGCGACAGCACACCCACCCCACUGCACUUUGUGAAUUGUGAGUACCUUUUUAUAUUUUAUUACAAAGAGUGAGAAAUAUAUUUUUAUAACGCAAAGAAUAAUAAAGAUUUGAAUUAUUAAUUGUCA